ensembl:lncRNA
AUAUAAAAAUAGGCUACUGUUCAGUCAAAUAUAACUUAUGGUUUAAUGGCUUCCCAAUAUUCUUUUAUGGUCACAAUGAAUACCUGGACUUGGGUAAAAAAAAUGAAUGGAGAUCUGGACACAAUUACGAAAAAAUAUAAUCAGAAUACACUCAACAGUAGCUAGGUCAAUGUACACUUCAGUACUUGAUCACCAAUGAUAAACAGAAUGUUGACUUAAUGUCUACUUCAAAAUGUAGUGAACUUCUCAACUUCAGAAUAGAUGUAGCACUGUUCAGAAAAUGUAUGUCACACUGUCACACACAGACAAUAUCAAUAGCAAUGAGAAAUGUUCUGUUGCAACUUUAUAUCACUGAGAAUUGAUUUAUAUCAAUGGUAAUGCAGAAUGAUAAUUCAGAAUAAGAGGUCGCCAAGACUAUGAGGUCGCCAAGCUAAAAUUGAGGUCGCCAAGACUAUGAGGUCGCCAAGCUAAAAUUGAGGUCGCCAAGACUAUGAGGUCGCCAAGCUACAAUUGAGGUCGCCAAGACUAUGAGGUCGCCAAGCUACAAUUGAGGUCGCCAAGAACAUAAAAGGUCGCCAAGAAUAUGAGGUCGCCAAACACAUAAGAGGUCGCCAAACACAUAAGAGGUCGCCAAGUCUUGAUGUGGGAAGUCUUGAUAAAGGAGAUCUUGAUAAAGGAAGUCUUCUUUUUUCUGUGAAUAAGGGACAAAAAUACAUAUUUAUGUGGCAAGUUACUUGAAAUGCAAAUCUGCCAAACCUCAUUAAAAAAAAAAUCGGUGCACAUCCUUAGUUAGACUAAAAUCUCUCAAUUAACAAGCAACAUCUUCACGACAAAGCAUUACCCACACAAACAGAUAUACUCAUAUAUAACCAGUCAGGGAUGGAAAUUAGCACCCGCUAUUUGCAAAUUUGAGCAAUCUACCCCUCCAAAAUGGCGGGUAAACAAAGGGGGAAAUUAACAAACAUAAUUAACGCUAUUCAAUCAUUCUGUGGAAAGUGUUAACAGUUCAAAUGGUCAGGAGAUAAAAAGGUAUUUUCAAGUUAUUUCACUUACCGAGCAUGGAAUGCAA